rnacentral:rRNA from 1 species
CUUGAACGCUGGCGGCAGGCCUAACACAUGCAAGUCGAACGCGUCGCGGACGGGUGAGUAAUGUCUGGGAAACUGCCUGAUGGAGGGGGAUAACUACUGGAAACGGUAGCUAAUACCGCAUACCAUCAGAUUUUCCCAGAUGGGAGUAGCUUUUUGGUGGGGUAACGGCUCACCAAGGCGACGAUCCCUAGCUGGUCUGAGAGGAUGACAAGCCACACUGGAAUGGAGACACGGUCCAGACUCCUACGGGAGGCAGCAGUGGGGAAUAUUACACAAUGGGCGCAAGCCUGAUGCAGCCAUGCCGCGUGUAUGAAGAAGGCCUUCGGGUCGUAAAGUACUGUCAGCGGGGAGGCGUUACCCGCAGAGGAAGCCCCGGCUAACUCCGUGCCAGCAGCCGCGGUAAUUC